AAGUCGUAACAAGGUUUCCGUAGGUGAACCUGCGGAAGGAUCAUUGAGAAUUUGGAACUUGUGGGUUUCUUGUUCUUUUCCUUGGCUGGAGGCGCUUCGGCGCGGAAGGUUGAGGGGAAGAGGGGAGGGGCUUGCAUUUUUCUUUGUGAACUGUUUUUUUGGGUUCUGGGGGUACCAUUUUUUGGGUUCGGGGGCUUUUUUUGGGCUUUUGAUAUUGGGUACUUUGUAUUUUUUUAAAAAGUUUCAUUUAUGACAACUUUCAGCAAUGGAUCUCUAGGCUCUU
rnacentral:misc_RNA from 1 species